GAUGAAGAACGUAGUGAAAUGCGAUAAGUAAUGUGAAUUGCAGAAUUCAGUGAAUCAUCGAAUCUUUGAACGCACAUUGCGCCCCCUGGCAUUCCGGGGGGCAUGCCUGUUCGAGCGUCAUUACAACCCUCAAGCUCUGCUUGGUAUUGGGCUCUGCUGGGACCGGCAGGCCUUAAAAUCAGUGGCGGCACCACUCGGCUUCAAGCGUAGUAAUUCUUCUCGCUUCGGAGACCCGGGUGCGUGCUAGCCAGCAACCCCCAACUUUCUUAGGUUGACCUCGGAUCAGGUAGGGAUACCCGCUGAACUUAAGCAUAUCAAUAAGCGGAGGA
rnacentral:misc_RNA from 1 species